rnacentral:rRNA from 1 species
GCCCGGAAGGGACAGGAAUGAAAGAAGACAAUUCAAAGCGGAUCGUAAAGGGCCAACGAGCCUACGACAGGCCAUUCGAAUUUCUGACCUAUCAACUCUGAUGGUAGGGUCGUGGCCUACCAUGGUGAUAACGGGUAACGGGGAAUCAGGGCUCGAUUCCGGAGAGGGAGCCUGAGAAACGGCUACCACUUCCAAGGAAGGCAGCAGGCGCGUAAUUACUCCCUGCCGACACGGCGAGGUAGUGACGACAAAUACCGAGAUUAGCCCGAAAGGGUUGGUCAUUGGAAUGAGCAGAAUUUAAACACCUUUGCAAGUAACAAUUGGAGGGCAAGUCUGGUGCCAGCAGCCGCGGUAAUUCCAGCUCCAAGAGUGUAUACUAAAGCUGUUGCGGUUAAAACGCUCGUAGUUGGAUUCCAACAUCCGGACACUAAGCCAGCGGCCAGGAGCGCAGGGCGGGAGGCGGGCAUAUCUUGUGCACGCUUUCGGUGCUGCGGUCUGGCCAGCUGGCCCGGAGAAGAAUACAACCCACAACCAUUCCAGGAGGCCUUGCAGCCUGCUCUUAACUGAGACGGGUGCCAAGACAAAUACGGACCGACCAGGGAAGUAGUCUCCUGGAGCACACAGUUUUACCUUGAACAAACUAGAGUGUUUCAAGCAGGCGGCUCGCACCGCUUUGAAUACGAUUAGCAUGGGAUAAACAACCCAAUCAAACGCCCCAGCCGGGCAUGGGAGAGGGCGCAGGAAGGCGGGCGGGACAGCCCCCAAGGGUGCACAGAAACCCCCGAGACCCCGAUGGUUCCAGCUGGCUUUGCCAGGGGACACUAGGCUGCCGGAAGACGGCGAGACAGCAGCUUCAGGGUGCAGAGAUGUGCCGUGGAGCGGGCGGUUUUCGGCUUCUGCAGAGUGAAUUGGGGGGUGCUUUUGGAGGAACCACUGGCGCGCACGCCGACCAAGAUUCUGCGCUUCUUGACCACUCGGAGGGGGAUCAAGAACAGACAACAAUAGGAACAGCCGGGGUGGUUCAUACUUCCUUGUCAGAGGUGAAAUUCUAUGAUUAAGGAAAGAUGGACUAGUGCGAAAGCAUUCCACAAGGAUGUUUUCAUUAAUCAAGAACGAAAGUUGGGGGAUCGAAGACGAUCAGAUACCGUCGUAGUCUCAACCAUAAACCAUGCCGACCAGAGAUCGGGGGACGCUUUCCAUAAGGAAACAAGGCUCGCCCGGCAUCUUUGAGAGAAAUCAUUGAGUGUUUGGGCUUCGGGGGGAGUAUGGUCGCAAGGCUGAAACUUAAAGGAAUUGACGGAAGGGCACCACCAGGAGUGGAGCCUGCGGCUUAAUUUGACCCAACACGGGGAACCUUACCAGGUCCAGACAGUGGAAGGAUUGACAGAUUGAGAGCUCUUUCUUGAUUCGCUGGGUGGUGGUGCAUGGCCGUUCUUAGUUCGUGGUGUAAAUUGUCUGUGUCAAUUCCGCUAACGAACGAGACCUUAACCUGCUAAAUAACGUUGGGCAAAGAUCUCAA